CAGAAACUGUUUGGUUUAAUUAGAUCCCAUUGAUCAAUUUUGCCUUUUGUCACAUUUGCUUUUGGUGUUUCAGUCAUGAAGUCCUUGCCCAUGCCUAUGUCCUGCAUGGU